GUUAAGAUGGCUGAGUGGUUUAAGCCUCUAAGGUGCCAAGGUCUUUGUGAGAAGGCGUGGGUUCAAAUCUCACUUUUGACA
rnacentral:tRNA from 1 species